UGCUGAAGAUCCCCCUGGCCAGGACAACUGGCGCCCAGCUUGAGGCUCAAGGACGUGAAGGAGUGGUGAACGUCAUCACACACCAGGGCAGGCCUGCCUAAGAGUUGGACCACCGUGGAAGACGACUCCAUGAGCAAGGUCCGGUCAGUGAUCGCCACGGAAACACCCAUGAAACAGGUCUUGCAACGUGACGACACAAGAUGCUGAUAAAAAAGAACUGGGAGAAUUUCCCUGGAUAUUCUGGAUCUUGCUGCUGCCUGUACCUUCUUAUCAGGACCAGAGACCGGUCGACACAUCCCCAUUUACAUGCGCUUUUAUUUGGCUGAAAAUUAUACUAAUUAUGCUAAAACACA